UAGGGUCUAUGGCCUGAAGAGACUAUAGGGACCCCAUCCCUCCGCUAUUUCCCGGUAUCGGGCAGCCGGGGCGCAUCCGAUCCCACGAUCGUCGUCGCCCCUAAAUCAACACAACAACAAAACAGUUCUUGUGUUUACUACACCGCCAGUGAUUUCUGUUUUCAGCAUGUUUCCUACAGCGUCAGUGGCCUCAGCUCCCCAUUAUGUUUGCUACAGGACCCCACUUCAUCUACAUGCAAGCUGAUAUUGAUCCUGAACUAAAUCUUCUAUCAACUUCAUCUACAUACAAGCUGAUAUUGAUCCUGUACUAACUCUUCUAUCUCAAAUCUUCAAUAACCAGCAUAUUGAUCAUCACUCCUUCAGAUUAACCACUGCACUGAGCAACGCAUCUGUAGGCGCUUGAUGGGUGGUGCGCAACGCGCUUUGGGGAUCUUAUAACUCACAUUUUUAUCAGAAGAAUUCCACUUGCAGUUUCAACACCCCAGGCCAUAAAGCUCAUUUAAGUGUUAGUAACACUGCGGGUAUAAUACACAUCAGCAAUGUGUCUCAUAAUGCACAUGACCGUGUUGAAAAUACUACAGUGCAGAACGUCAACAAUUAGCUCACUUAAAUUACCCAGCUGCUAUAUGCAUAACCUCAACAGCCUGUGAACAUAUGUUUACUCCACUCAUUCAGAUAUUGUAGUGCAGCAUUAUGACCAUCUUCAGUAAAGAUUUCUUAGAUCAACAGAAAUUUGUUGUUAUACAUUGAAAAUUUAAGAAUAGACUAAUAAUGUAAUAUUUUUAUUCAUUCUUUGCGAGUUCUAUUUGAAUGGUAAUUUUUGGAAAUUCAUUCAUAUUUAACCAUUAUGCAGAUAUAGUGUAUAAUAAGGACCGAAAUAGACUAUGUCCAGACCCAGUUUCCUUAUGUCUAAUAUACUUCACUAUAUAAAAUUUGUGUGAUGUCAGCAGUGAUACUUCCUACCUCAGGUAAUUGUUCAUUCACCCCUGUUCUUCCAUUUUCCUGCCAAGUCAGGUACUACAUUUGCUUAAUGUACUUGGUAAUAUUAUUAUUUCACUCAUAUUUUCUCUAAAUAUAUAUUUGUGCUUUUAUGAACAGUAUUUUAUACAUUUUAAAGCUCUAAUACUAUUCUUAAUAUUCACUGUUUGGUAUUACAUUAUAAAAAUAUAUCAUUAUAGGUAACUUGAUUAAUCAUACAUAUGUAUGAUUAAUCAAGUUAGAAGGAGGAACCCAUUUAUUUUUAAAAUAUAUUUAUUAUAAUAAUAAUAUAUUUCUGUAUAUACAUUUGUCUGUAUGUAUAAUAAGUGUUUAUAUGAAUGUAUGUGCAAUAUAUUUGUAUUUGAUUUAAUAUUUAUCAUAUAUUGACAGGGAAGCUAGACAUAUUGAAUAUUUAUCAUAUUAAGCCAUUUUCCUUCUUACCUUUAUAUAAACGUUUAUAUAUUGGUGUAUAGUAUUUAGGGAAUAAAAACAUGUUCUUCCCUCUUAAACACCAUAUAUACAGCAAUUUGACAUGAAAGUUAAUAUCAUUACAUGCAAUUAGUUAACAACACUUGCUAUUUCUCAGUAUAAAAUUCAUUCAGUACAAAAUGUACAUUCACAAAAGUCUGUAGAUAAAAGAUGGCUUCUUGUAAAACCAUAUUAGGUUUCAGUAAAAAGAAACUCGAUUUCUUUCUUGCAAGAUAUAAUUGGUCAUGCAAAUGUUUAGUACCUCUAAAAGAUAGAGAAACUUGUGUUACUGUUACAGUCAUGCUAGCAAGUGCAUGAACAAUUUAUAUAUCAGUGCUAAACAUUUGAGGGCUGCUUGCUUCAAUUGACAUAGAGUAUAAAAGUUCACCUGAAGUCAGUGUAGUUUAUAUUAGAUAAUAUUUCUCACAUAGAGACCUGUGAUAACUGUUAUGUUUAUAAAUCCAUAUCAUUACCAUAUAAAUAAAUAAAUAUAUA